rnacentral:rRNA from 1 species
UACGGGGGGGGGCAAGCGUUGUUCGGAAUUACUGGGCGUAAAGGGCGCGUAGGCGGCCUGCUAAGUCGAACGUGAAAUCCCUGGGCUCAACCCAGGAACUGCGUCCGAUACUGGUUGGCUUGAAUCCGGGAGAGGGACGUGGAAUUCCAGGUGUAGCGGUGAAAUGCGUAGAUAUCUGGAGGAACACCGGUGGCGAAGGCGACGUCCUGGACCGGCAUUGACGCUGAGGUGCGAAAGCCAGGGGAGCAAACGGG